UACGUAGGGUGCGAGCGUUGUCCGGAAUUACUGGGCGUAAAGAGCUCGUGGGUGGUUUGUCGCGUUGUUCGUGAAAACUCACAACUCAAUUGUGGGCGUGCGGGCGAUACGGGCAGACUGGAGUACUGCAGGGGAGACUGGAAUUCCUGGUGUAGCGGUGGAAUGCGCAGAUAUCAGGAGGAACACCGGUGGCGAAGGCGGGUCUCUGGGUAGUAACUGACGCUGAGGAGCGAAAGCGUGGGGAGCGAACAGG
rnacentral:rRNA from 1 species